CACUGUAAAGCUAUCUAGCAUUAACCUUUUAAGUUAAAGACCGAGAAAAUCUGUUUCUCUACAGUGA
rnacentral:tRNA from 1 species